rnacentral:rRNA from 1 species
GGAUUAGAUACCCUGGUAGUCCACGCCGUAAACGAUGUCUACUUGGAGGUUGUGGCCUUGAGCCGUGGCUUUCGGAGCUAACGCGUUAAGUAGACCGCCUGGGGAGUACGGUCGCAAGAUUAAAACUCAAAGGAAUUGACGGGGGCCCGCACAAGCGGUGGAGCAUGUUGUUUAAUUCGAAGCAACGCGAAGAACCUUACCUAGCCUUGACAUACCUGUCAUACCAUUCCGAAAAGAAUGGGUCAUUUAGUUGGACAGUGUACAGGUGUUGCAUGGCUGUCGUCAGCUCGUGCUG